UAUACGUAUUUUUUUUUUUUUUUUUUUUAUAGAGGAGGCUUCUUUUGGGAUAUGCUAGCUGAUAAUAAUACAUUGAUCAGUGAACAAAAGCUAGCUGAAUGGAUUUACCAAAUAUUAGUUACUCUCGUUUUUUUAGAAUAUAAUCAAAUUUAUCAUGGUAAUGUAAAUGGGUAUUGUAUUUUAUUUAAAGACAUAGAAAAAAAAGAAAUAAGAUUAAGUUUAUUAAGUAAAAGCAAUAUAUAUGAUAACAUUGAUGAAAUAGGUGAUUUAUAUGGUUUAUAUUUUAUCAGAUCACCUCAAGAAAUUCAACAAUCAAAUUAUGAUAAAAACAAUGCUUGGUAUGUAGGUAUGUUAUUAUAUUUUAUUUUAUAUGGUUCUUUUCCGUUUAUGAAUAAUAAUGUUUUGAAGAGUUAUUCAAGCAUAAUAAGAAAUGAUAUUAAUUUAAAUUCUUUAAAAAUAAAAUAUAAUUAUUUAGGUGACAAUAUUUUUAAUUUUAUAAAAUGUGCACUUGAAAAAAAUUAUAACUUGAGGCUUUCCACAAAGGAGCUGAUAGAGCAUCCUUGGAUAAAGGAACGGUCAAACCAUAUAGAAUAUAACAUAAUAGACAAAAACACUAGAAAAUCGGCAUAUAAUCAUAUAAAGAUGACAGAACAAAAUAUCAUUGAAUUACUGAAAAAAGCAAGCUCUGAGUGUAAACCUAUAGCUUAAUGAACUUGCAAAGUGACAUAUAAAGUAACCAUUCAAGCAUAGUUGUCAUUAUUUAUUAGAGGAUGUGAUUUAAACAUUUUAUAUAAUUAAUUGUCAAAAUUAUUGUUUUCGUCAUGCAAUUUCAAAAAUAUAUAUAUAUAUAUAUAUAUAUAUAUAACUUUAACGUACUUUUUAAUUGAAUAAAAUUAAGGAGUUUUUUUUUUUUUUUUUUUUU
ensembl:lncRNA